UGCAGGACUUCUCACCGAGCACACCUUCCACCACCAUCGUGGACUCGUACAGCUCACUACUCCUGUGGGGAGCAUGUGGGGGCUGAGGCCUCCCUAUUCCUUGAGACACAACAAUAUUGAAAUUAGACCAACUGAUAACCCUACAAUAGCCUCUAAGUCUUCAAGUGAAAAGAAGAGUCGUACGUAUCUCACUUUAAAUCAAAAUGAUUAAGCUAAAAAAUGAUUAAGCUUAGUGAGGAAGGCACAUUCAAAGCUGACACAGGCAGAAAGCUAGCUUUGUGCCAAACAGACAAAUUGUGAAUGCAAAGAAAUGUAAUAUCUAGCAAAUGCCCUAUUUGUGAAAAUUUUGAAGUAAAAGAUAAUAAAGCAAAUAAAAUGUUAUGCAAACAAG